UGGGGAAUAUUGCGCAAUGGGCGAAAGCCUGACCCAGCAACGCCGCGUGAAGGAUGAAGUAUUUCGGUAUGUAAACUUCGAAAGAAUAGGAAGAAUAAAUGACGGUACUAUUUAUAAGGUCCGGCUAACUACGUGCCAGCAGCCGCGGUAAUACGUAGGGACCAAGCGUUGUUCGGAUUUACUGGGCGUAAAGGGCGCGUAGGCGGCAAUUCAAGUCAUCUGUGAAAUCUCCGGGCUUAACUCGGAACGGUCAGAUGAUACUGCUUUGCUAGAGUGCAGAAGGGGCAAUCGGAAUUCUUGGUGUAGCGGUGAAAUGCGUAGAUAUCAAGAGGAACACCUGAGGUGAAGACGGGUUGCUGGGCUGACACUGACGCUGAGGCGCGAAAGCCAGGGGAGCAAACGGGAUUAGAUACCCGAUGUAGUCCCUGAGCGGGCUGGCAAGGCGCAU
rnacentral:rRNA from 1 species